rnacentral:rRNA from 1 species
AAAAUGACUCUCGGCAACGGAUAUCUCGGCUCUCGCAUCGAUGAAGAACGUAGCGAAAUGCGAUACUUGGUGUGAAUUGCAGAAUCCCGUGAACCAUCGAGUUUUUGAACGCAAGUUGCGCCCGAAGCCUUUCGGUUGAGGGCACGUCUGCCUGGGUGUCAUAU